ensembl:snoRNA small nucleolar RNA SNORA25
AGGUCAUUUCAGAGAGAGCUUAUGAGACCAAAACCAGGAGCUCUUGACACUGUGACCUACGAUUUAAGUUCUCCAUAGGAUGUAACAGACAAUAGUGCUAUGUUCUCCUGAGGAGAUGUAAGA